GGUGCCGGGAGGAAGGGGAGGAAGGGGGUGGAGGGUACCUCGAGGGGGAAGAAAUUUUGAGCAGCUUUCACGAGGCCCUACCGGCUACCCUACCCCCACUCCGGGUCUUCAGCGUCCUCCUGGGGCCGCAGUGUUGGGGAUAGAUUCUGCCCAGGAUCGGGCCAGUAGGAUGGGAGAGUUUGGACGUGCUUGGGCGCCUCUCAAAGAUUUGGCUUUUCCUGCGGACAGCGCCCCGCCCCCAUCCUAGGAACUCCGGACUUGGGCGGUCUUCGAGGGAAAGGGGGAGGGAGUAGGAGACAGAAGUGGAGAAGAUUUGGCAGUGGCCGCAGGCGGACGCCUGAGAAUCAACUUCUUGGAGGAUCCCGCCUUCCCACUCUCUCUCCUAACCCGGCCGGCUGCCCCGAGGAGCCUCAGAGGUCCUUUUCGUCCCUAAACGUGCCUUCGGAAGGGUCUGCCCGCGAGCGCCCCCAAGCGGCAGGUCUCAGAGUCCAGGUCGUUGGUGUGAUGCCUUUUCUAACCCUUCUAUCAAGAAUCAGCCAGAGCCACCAAUUUAGAGCACAGAUAUGAUUGUGCCACUCCGUGUUUACAUUCCUCUAAUGGCACCUGUUAACCUCAGGAUGAAAUUUAGACGCUUUAGCAUGGUUUCUGAGGUCCUUUGUCAUCGGACUUUGCGCAUAUAUCCAGAUGCCCAUCGCUUCCUCAAGGCUUCAGCCAUCCUGAGUGAUCUCCAUGGGCUCUUCCACUCCGGUCAUACAUAUCUAUCACCACCUACUUAUUCCUUUAUGGGAGAAGCCUACGUCCCUGCCUCAUUGGCCCUGGACUUGGCCACAUGACAGGGUCGACUAAUAAAUGCGAGUGGAUGAACAGAAGCUUUUAGAGACAUUGUACGUUGCCACCAGGACUCUUUCUUCUUUUGCUCUCAUACCCCCAGACAGGUGUCACUCCAGCUUGUGUUACAGGAUGAAAGAGAAGAUGGAGCGGAGCCCCAGCUCAAAGCACAGUCACAGCUGGCCUGCAGCCUGCAUUUAAUAUGAGCGAGAAAUAAUGUGCGUGGCUGUAAACCUCUGAGAUUUGGGGGUUGUUCGUCACUGCAGCAAAGCUGAGGGGUAUCUUUCCCUCCUGCGGAUCUUUGUAUGUGCUGUUGCUUCUCCCUGGAAACCUCUCCCUCAUUCCCAAACCCCUUAUUUUUCAGGACUCAGAUGAGAUGUUACUUUCUCUGGAAAACUUUCCUGACACUCUUCCUCCCCCAGGUUGGGGCUGCGGCCCUGUUCCAGUCCCCACGUCACCUUCCUAUACUCAUUCCCACCAUUACACCAUCUCAUGGUACCAUAACCCCUUGAUUUCUUUUUUUUUUUUAAUUUUUAUUUGGAUUCAAGUUAGUUAACAUACAGUGUAGUAUUGGCUUUAGGAGUAGAAUCCAGUGAUUCCUCACUUACAUAUAACACGCAGUGCUCAUCCCAACAAGUGCCUUCCUUAAUGCCCAUCCCCCGUUUAGCUCAUGCCCCCACGCACCCACCACCCCUCCAGCAACCCUCAGUUUGUCCCCUAUAUUGAAGAGUUUCUUAUGGUUUGCCUCCCUCUCUGUUUUUAUCUUAUUUUAUUUUU